AACGAACGCUGGCGGCAUGCCUAACACAUGCAAGUCGAACGAGACCUUCGGGUCUAGUGGCGCACGGGUGCGUAACGCCGGGGAACCUGCCCUUAGGUUCGGAAUAACUCCCCGAAGGGGGUGCUAAUACCGGUUAAUGUCUUCGGACCAAAGAUUUUUCGCCUUUGGAUGGGCCCGCGUUGGAUUAGCUAGUUGGUAGGGUAAAAGCCUACCAAGGCGACGAUCCAUAGCUGGUCUGAGAGGAUGAUCAGCCACACUGGGACUGAGGCACGGCCCAGACUCGUACGGAAGGGAGCAGUGGGGAAUAUUAGACAAUGGGCGAAAGCCUGAUCCAGCAAUGCCGCGUGAGUGAUGAAGGCCGUAGGGUUGUAAAGCUCUUUUAGCCGGGAUGAUAAUGACGGUACUGGGAAAAUAAGCACCGGCUAACUCCGUG
rnacentral:rRNA from 1 species